ACACGGACCUGUCUGCACUGGUGCCUUUAUGGUGCCUGAUCCAAAUGCACACUCCAACUUCUGACAGCUCUGCCAAUAAUUAAUGACUUCCCCUGCCCCCAGCCAAGUGGGAGGAGAUGUUUUGGAGAUAAUGUUGGUGGGAAAAAAUUCAAAAUAAGAGAAGUUCUGUGUGAACUGCAAAUUUGCACACUGCCUGGCCCUGAGAUGGUAUGUAAAUGAGGAAGUGUUAGCCUCCCCCUUACAACAGUCUGCUGUGCAACACUUUGGGAACAGUUGCGAGUCUGAAGUCCACAGGAACAGGCCCAGUGGGCAGAGGCUCCUGGUUGGAGCAAGGCGACUAUGGUCAAGCACACAGGGAGAUGGACGUACGAGCCCUACUCUAGACUAGAGCAGGACUUAGGAGGACUAAGUAAGGUCUCACCCAGGAAGCCUUGGUUCACCAUGGUCCUCAGCACCUCAGGAUCACCGCCUCCAAACCUGACUCCAAACUCCUUCUGCAGGUCCUCUGCCACAUGAGACCCCACAUCGAUGCCAACCUCAUCCAGCAGCGUCGCUGUGCCCACUGGAAACCCAGCCCGUGUAGUCAGCUGGUCCAGUUUCUGAGGCCCCUCUCCCUCCUAGGACAACACAAGGAGCCUGAUGAUCUCCGACAGUGUGGGUGCCAGGACCCUGGUGGUGUAGAAACCGGGACCGUCCUUCACCACGAUGGGGUACUUCCCCUGCUUCAGGCCCACCGCCACGGCCGCCGCACACGUCUCCUUCGUCGUCUUGUCCGUGGCGAUGAUCUCCAACAGGGGCAUCUUCUCCACAGGACUGAAGUAAUGCAUGCCAAUCACCUGUAGUACAUAGAAACAGAACAAGAACAAUCAUCAAUGUGAACUUGCAAUUAGAAUCAUAUUAUUGGCACAAACUGUAAGACAACAAUAUUACAUCAUAUCAAAGGCAUAAUAAAGCAUCAAAA